rnacentral:rRNA from 1 species
AUGAACGCUAGCUACAGGCUUAACACAUGCAAGUCGAGGGGCAGCAUGGUCUUAGCUUGCUAAGGCCGAUGGCGACCGGCGCACGGGUGAGUAACGCGUAUCCAACCUGCCUUACACUCUUGGACAGCCUUCUGAAAGGGAGAUUAAUACAAGAUGUUAUCAUGAGUAAGCAUUUUCGCAUGAUUAAAGGUUUACCGGUGUAAGAUGGGGAUGCGUUCCAUUAGAUAGUAGGCGGGGUAACGGCCCACCUAGUCUUCGAUGGAUAGGGGUUCUGAGAGGAAGGUCCCCCACAUUGGAACUGAGACACGGUCCAAACUCCUACGGGAGGCAGCAGUGAGGAAUAUUGGUCAAUGGACGAGAGUCUGAACCAGCCAAGUAGCGUGAAGGAUGAAGGUUCUAUGGAUUGUAAACUUCUUUUAUACGGGAAUAAACGGAUCCACGUGUGGAUUUUUGCAUGUACCGUAUGAAUAAGGAUCGGCUAACUCCGUGCCAGCAGCCGCGGUAAUACGGAGGAUCCGAGCGUUAUCCGGAUUUAUUGGGUUUAAAGGGAGCGUAGAUGGGUUGUUAAGUCAGUUGUGAAAGUUUGCGGCUCAACCGUAAAAUUGCAAUUGAUACUGGCAGUCUUGAGUACAGUUGAGGUAGGCGGAAUUCGUGGUGUAGCGGUGAAAUGCUUAGAUAUCACGAAGAACUCCGAUUGCGAAGGCAGCUUACUAACCUGUAACUGACAUUGAUGCUCGAAAGUGUGGGUAUCAAACAGGAUUAGAUACCCUGGUAGUCCACACGGUAAACGAUGAAUACUCGCUGUAGGCGAUAUACAGUCUGCGGCCAAGCGAAAGCAUUAAGUAUUCCACCUGGGGAGUACGCCGGCAACGGUGAAACUCAAAGGAAUUGACGGGGGCCCGCACAAGCGGUGGAGCAUGUGGUUUAAUUCGAAGCAACGCGAAGAACCUUACCAAGUCUUGACAUCCUUCUGACCGGUACUUAACCGUACCUUCUCUUCGGAGCAGGAGUGACAGGUGGUGCAUGGUUGUCGUCAGCUCGUGUCGUGAGAUGUUGGGUUAAGUCCCGCAACGAGCGCAACCCUUGCCGAUAGUUACUAACAGGUCAUGCUGAGGACUCUGUCGGGACUGCCAUCGUAAGAUGUGAGGAAGGUGGGGAUGACGUCAAAUCAGCACGGCCCUUACGUCCGGGGCUACACACGUGUUACAAUGGGGGGUACAGAGGGCUGCUACCACGCAAGUGGAUGCCAAUCCCAAAAACCUCUCUCAGUUCGGAUUGAAGUCUGCAACCCGACUUCAUGAAGCUGGAUUCGCUAGUAAUCGCGCAUCAGCCACGGCGCGGUGAAUACGUUCCCGGGCCUUGUACACACCGCCCGUCAAGCCAUGGGAGCCGGGGGUACCUGAAGUGCGUAACCGCAAGGAGCGCCCUAGGGUAAAACUGGUGACUGGGGCU